rnacentral:tRNA from 1 species
GUUCCCUUAGCUCAGUGGUAGAGCGGCGGUCUCCAAAACCGCAGGCCGAGGUUCGAUCCCUCGAGGGUUCG